AUCGGCAUCAAGGAGUCACUGAAAACGAAACCAUUUUUCGGCAAUCAUACCCAGUUCCAAACAUAAUCGAGCAGUCAUUGGCCCGAUGUCGACCGAAACGAAGUAACAUGCUACAAAAGUGCUGGAAUCUACCUCCGCCUUACCCCCCGCAGGCUGCACUAUCUAUAGUUGAACUAUAAUUGUAUGCAAUUUUUUGGUACUGAGCGAAACGGCAUCACUGUAGAGAUUGCUUUUUCUCUUUCUCUCUAAAUUGUCAUUCAAAAUAUAACAGAGAAUCGAGAACUAAAUUUUUAACAAAUUCAACAACACGGAGACAAAAUACAGGCGAAAUUUGUGGUGAACGCAGCUAGUCUUUGUUGAUAUAUCGCGUCAAAGGAAGGAAAGCAGCAGCAACAGCAGAAAUGUAUAAAUGAAAAUGAAAGAAUAGCGGUGAUCUGAAUGGAAUGAAAACGGAGUUUGCAGCUUCGGUAAAGUAUUGUUUUUGGGAUCAGACCAAAGCGCUCAUCUCACCAUAAUCACCAACAACAACUUCAACACGAACGUAACCAAUUUGAAUACCCGUUGCAAAAUAAAAAACUCAUCCAUCUCAACAGUCAUGAUUCCCCACGAAGUUAGGUGUGUCUGCUAGAGGGAACGAAAGGGACAAAAAUAAUUGAGCCGACUGCGAUUCCGAUGAAGAAAUUUGUAGCUGACGGGAGUUUACUGAUGACGGUAUAAUCGCUGCGAAUAGAGUACAUCAAC